rnacentral:rRNA from 1 species
CCUACGGGAGGCAGCAGUGAGGAAUAUUGGUCAAUGGGCGAGAGCCUGAACCAGCCAAGUCGCGUGAAGGAUGAAGGAUCUAUGGUUUGUAAACUUCUUUUAUAUUGGCAUACAGUGAGGAACGUGUUCCUUUUUGUAUGUACCAUAUGAAUAAGCAUCGGCUAACUCCGUGCCAGCAUCCGCGGUAAUACGGAGGAUGCGAUCGUUAUCCGGAUUUAUUUGGUUUAAAGGGUGCGUAGGUGGUUAAUUAAGUCAGCGGUGAAAGUUUGUGGCUCAACCAUAAAAUUGCAGUUGAAACUGGUUGACUUGAGUAUAUUUGAGGUAGGCGGAAUGCGGGGUGUAGCGGUGAAAUGCAUAGAUAUCACGCAGAACUCCGAUUGCGAAGGCAGCUUACGAAACUAUAACGGACACUGAAGCACGAAAGCGUGGGGAUCAAACAGGAUUAGAUACCCUAGUAGUC